rnacentral:rRNA from 1 species
GCGUGAGUGAAGAAGGCCUUAGGGUUGUAAAGCUCUUUCACCGGGGAAGAUAAUGACGGUACCCGGAGAAGAAGCCCCGGCUAACUCCGUGCCAGCAGCCGCGGUAAUACGGAGGGGGCUAGCGUUGUUCGGAAUUACUGGGCGUAAAGCGCGCGUAGGCGGCUUGCCAAGUUGGGGGUGAAAGCCCGGAGCCUAACUCCGGAACUGCCCUCAAAACUGGCAGGCUAGAGUCCGGGAGAGGAGAGUGGAAUUCCCAGUGUAGAGGUGAAAUUCGU